CGUAGCUGGCUGCGCAAGUCCGUCGGGAAAUCCACUCGCCCAACGAGUGGGCGUCCGACGGAAACUGCACAGCUUGGGACCGGAAGGCUCGAAGGGUACGUUCGGGGUAGGAGUGAAAUCCCAUAAUCCCGCACGGACCACCGAUGGCGAAAGCACUUCGAGAAAACGGAUCCGACAGUGAGGGACGAAAGCCAGGGUCUCCAAC
rnacentral:rRNA from 1 species